UGUAUCUUUGUUUAGCUAUCUAUGUGGUAUCACAUAGUGACAGCCAGAACAAUUGAAUGUUCUUCCACUAGAUGGCAGAAGUUAAAAUUAACGAGUGUAAUCCACCUGGUGCCAUUCAGAGAACAGAUAGCUCUGUUUUCAACUAGGUUGGGAUAUCCGGCUCUCUACCACUGAGCCAUGCCGACCUGUUGCGCCAUUGGCUUGCUCAAGGACGUGUUUUUCAAAACAGGCAGAUAAAAGAAUUACCUGCUUGUUCAGUUGGACCCUUUAUGCUUGUCAAGGCAGUAGAGCGAGCCAAUUAUUUUUGUGCACGCAAUUAAAAAAGUUAAUUUGGACUCCUAAAUGCCUUUCCCCAGCUGGCAAUGACGUGAAGGAGAUUUUUGCCAGUGCCAAGAGCGGAGACGAGUACCGAGUCUUGAAAAUCGUCAUCGAGGAUGAGCAGCUGACAGUUGCCGACACCAAGAAGGCGUCAAAGAAGUGGGACCAGGAGUACGAUGCCUUAGUGCUACCGCUGCUGGAGGACUCCCUCCCCUGCUACAUCCUCUACCGGCUGGACUCCAGCAACAACCAGGGUUAUGAAUGGAUCUUCCUCGCAUGGAGUCCCGACCACUCUGCCGUAAG